rnacentral:rRNA from 1 species
AGUGAAUGCUAAAGGUAUGCUUAACACAUGCAAGUUUAACAGAGCUUAGGCUCGGUAGCGUACGGGUGAGUAUGAUAGAAGAACAAAAGCGUAAGUUUGGGACAAGAGUUUGUCUGUAUAAAUACCGAAUAAUACGAAAAGAUUUUAUCGCUUACUAUUAGGCUUCUAUAGGAUUAGAUUGUUGGCGGUGUAAUGGACCACCAAGUCAGUGAUCCUUAGUUGGUCUGAGAGGANGAUCAGCCACACUGGGACUGAAAUAAGGCCCAGACUUCCUUGGAGGGCAGCAGUGAGGAAUAUUGGACAAUGGGCGUAAGCCUGAUCCAGCAAUACCUAUUGGGUGAUGAAGGCAAUUCUGUAAAACCUAAGAGAUAAGGAAAAUGAUGAUUUUACUUAAUCUUUAGCCCCGGCUAACUUCGUGCCAGCCGCCGCUGUAAGACCUGAGACCAAGGCACACAGGGG